UCCGAUAUGGUGUAACGGCUAACAUUACCGCCUUUCAUUCUCUCGUCCUGGAAAUUUGUGGGCGCGGUAGCUCGGGGUUCGAUUCCCCGUAUCGGAA